rnacentral:ncRNA from 1 species
GUCGUAUAUAGAUGUAUUAGUCGCAAGUCAGACUAGCAUUUCCCUUUACGACACAAUAAAAUUAGAAACUAUUUCCAAUAGUAUUAUUUGCUAAAGAGCAACUUUAGGUUGCUGAAAAUGAUUUAUGGGUAGUGGAAUAGGUUAACCGUAAGACCUUUGGUUGAAAAACUAUGAAAUUAAGCCUCAGAUAUUUUAUCUUUGGUUACGGGAAA